rnacentral:ncRNA from 1 species
CGCUCAGCUUGUGGGGUAACCGCAGGAGCUGGGGGAUAAGCGAGACUGUGGGAUAGUUCUGAGAACUCGCAAACGGCGGCGAAGAGAGCACCGUUGGAACGAAAAGGCUGUCGGGU